AAGUGGAAAAAUCUAGGCUAAGCGCAGAGCACAACCCUGGCAGGGUCAAGUCCGAUUUCAAGCCCAACCCGAUGGGAUUCAGAAAAGCCCGCCCAGCGUCCCCAGGCCCAGCAGUCCACGCCACACCGUCGGCGACGGAUUUCGUUUCUAUUCCCCGCACGCGCCCCAGCAACGCAGAAGGAGAUCCAGUUUCGCCACAACGUUCCCGUUGGCUUGCUGGUUUGAAAGUUGAAGCCCCGGGGUAGUAAAUUUGGCUACAAAAUCUCAAAUCUCGUUAAUCCUAGACAAAAUAAAAACAUAAUAGGCCACAAAUUAA
rnacentral:lncRNA from 1 species